CUGUCCACUAAUGCUCACAGAAGUGUGUUCCUGCAAGAGAGGUGGCAGUCCAAGGAGAGUCUGAGUCUCACAAGUGAAAGAGGAGAAAUGUGGAGAAGAGUGGUGUCAUAGGGCCCUUCUGAGGCUGAUAGCUCAACUGAAAUAAAUUGUUUUGUGCAUAGAGGGGCAUUGAUACUCCAUGAUGUUCCCAGGUUCUGUUCAGGAAGCAGGAGACCUACAAAAGAGAAGGGCUAGAAAACCCAUUCCCAGGCUGCAUCAGGAGUCAGUGAAAGAGAAUAAAUUUAAGACAAAUUAAGUGUCACUUGUGUGCACUGA
rnacentral:lncRNA from 1 species